rnacentral:rRNA from 1 species
UACAGAGGUCUCAAGCGUUGUUCGGAUUUACUGGGCGUAAAGGGCGCGUAGGCGGUCAGCACAAGUCAGUUGUGAAAUCUCCGGGCUUAACUCGGAAAGGUCAACUGAUACUGUGCGACUAGAGUGCGGAAGGGGCAACUGGAAUUCUCGGUGUAGCGGUGAAAUGCGUAGAUAUCGAGAGGAACACCUGCGGCGAAGGCGGGUUGCUGGGCCGACACUGACGCUGAUACGCGAAAGCGUGGGGAGCAAACAGG